ensembl:lncRNA
GGCACGUAGAGGUCCCAUGGGGCACACGGGGGUCCCAUAGGGCACAUAGGGGUCUUAUAGGGCACAUGGAGAUCUCAUAGAGCACAUAGAAGUCUCAUAGCGCAUAUGGAGAUCCCAUAAGGCACAUAGGGGUCCCAUAGGGCACAUGGAGGACAUGUGGGGGUCCCAUAGGGCACAUGGAGCUCCCAUAGAGCACGUGGAGGUUCUAUAGGACAUGUAAGAGUCCCACAGGACACAGGGAUGUCCUAUAGGGCAUAUAGGGAUGUCCUAUAGGCCAUAUAGGGCCCACGGAGGGCACGUGGGGGUCCCAUAGGGCACAUAGAGGUCCCAUAGGGCACACGGCGGUCCCAUAGGGCACAUAAGGGUCCCAUAGAGCAUAUGGGGGUUCCAUAAGGUACAUGGAGGUGCUAUAGGGCACGUAGGGAUCCAAUAGGGCACACGGAGCUCCCAUAGGGCACGUGGGAGUCCCAUGGGGCACGUAGGGGUCCCAUAGGGCCCAUGGAGGGCACGUGGGGGUCCCAUAGGGCACAUAGGGGUCCCAUAGGGCACACGGAGGUCCCAUAGGGCACGUGGGGGCCCCAUGGGGCACAUGGAGGUUCUGUAGGGCAUGUAGGAGUCCCAUAGAACACAGAGAUGUCUUAUAGUGCACAUAGGAGUCCCAUAGGGCAGACGGCGGUCCCAUAGGGCACAU